AAGCCUGAUGCCGCGACGCCGCGUGAGGGAUGACGGCYCUCGNGUUGUAAACCUCUUUUCUCGGGGAAGANAGAGGACUUAACCUGAGGAAUAAGUCACGGCUAACUACGUGCCAGCAGCCGCGGUAAUACGUAGGUGGCAAGCGUUUUCCGGAAUUACUGGGCGUAAAGGGUCCGUAGGCGGUUUGGUAAGUCUUCUGUGAAAGCUCCCGGYUCAACUUGGAGUCGUCGGGAGAAACUGCUGAACUANAGACUGUCAAAGGCAGGUGGAAUUCCCGGUGUAGUGGUGAAAUACGUANAUAUCGGGAGGAACACCAGUGGCGAAAGCGGCCUGCUGGGGCAGUUCUGACGCUNAGGGACUAAAGCGUGGGGAGCGAACCGGAUUANAUACCCGGGUAGUCCACGCCCUAAACNAUGAAUGCUANGUCUUCGGGGUGUUAAUUCCCUGUGGGCCGAAGGUAACCCAUUAAGCAUUUCGCCUGGGGACUACNGCCGCAAGGCUAAAACUCAAAUGAAUUGACGG
rnacentral:rRNA from 1 species